AAUUCUCAACUGCCACGAGCUCUUGCAGCCCCGUGGUGAGGUUGGACUUUGGAGGUCAUUGCUGGCAUGUGGCUGUCGGCUCCUCUUGAAUGCAUGAGCUUUCCAAUCCUUGGCAAAGUAUCGACGGCGUGAUAGUCAUCUACGUCGUCUGAGAAAUGCGCAUGAGGGGAAAUCUAAGAUCACGCUGCCCUCCAGGGGUUCUGCGUCUGACCA
rnacentral:misc_RNA from 1 species